CCUGUGGACUGCAGCCUGUCAGGCUCCCCUGUCCAUGGAAUUCUCCAGGCAAGAACACUGGAGUGGGUUGUCAUUUCCUUAUCCAGGGGAUCUUCCCAACCCAGGAAUCAAACCCGGGGAAGUCAUAGGACCAGGAUGCUUCUGGUGCCUGAAUUUUGAAUCUGUUUCAUCUGUCUCCUUUCACCAGUUUUACCACUGUUUCUGAGGUACUCUGGAUUUGGGUGCUGACCACUUCUGGGCUUCAAGCUGCCUUGGAUCGACUCGUAACUUGCAACAGUCCUCUCUUGCUUAUGUUUGGGAAUGCCUUCUUCUUCAGCUUCAUCUC